GACAGCUUGGCAAGAAAUACCGUGCGCGAGAUCCGGCAUUUGAAGCGUGCGGACGGUCCUGCGGCAGUGCUGGCCAUCGGGACAGCAAACCCGCCCAACCGAUUGUCCCAGGAGGAGUACGUGGAGUACUACUUCCGCGUCACCAAAAGCCAACACCUCACGGACCUCAAACGCAAAUUCAAGUUAAUAUGUGACAGGACUGCCACGGAGAAACGUUUCUUUCACCACACGCAGGAGCUGCUGGACGCCCACCCCCGCUUCUUCGACGGUGGACAGGACAGGCUGGAGAUCGCCGCUGCCGUUGCCCCGGAGCUCGCCGCGUCCGCGGCCACCAAGGCCAUAGCCAAGUGGGGCCGUCCAGCGACCGACAUAACCCACCUCAUCCUCAGCACCAACUCAUGCGCCCUUUCCCCGGGCGUCGACCUCCGCCUCGCAUCCCUGCUGGGCCUCGGAUCCUCUGUGGUCCGCACACUGCUCCAGCUCACCGGAUGCUCCGGCGGCUCCGCGUCGCUGCGCCUCGCCAAGGACAUUGCCGAGAAUAACUGUGGCGCCCGUGUCCUGGUGGCAUGCGUCGAGCUCAGCGUUGCUGCCUUGCGGGGGCCAGAGGAGAACUACCCCCACACCCUCAUUAGCCAGGCAAUUUUCAGUGACGGCGCCGGCGCGGUAAUCGUCGGCGCUGACGCGGUGCAUCCACUGGAGCGCCCGCUCUUUGAGAUGGUAUCCGCAUCACAGACCGUGAUUCCGGACACAGAUCGUGUUGCCGUUAUAAAAACCGGGGAAGGCGGCAUCUACCACCAAUUGUUUAUGCAGGAGCUUGCCCCUAUAGCUACACACAACAUCGAGAGGUGCAUAUCGGAUGAGCUCAAGCAGCUUGGAAUUGACGCCCAAUGGAACGACCUCUUCUGGGCAGUGCAUCCUGGCGUCACCGCACUCUUGGACAGCAUCGACCUGGCUCUCAUGUUGGACCCAGGGAAGUUGGCAGCAAGUCGGACCGUGCUGAGGGAGUACGGGAAUAUGCUCAGUGCCACAGUGAUUUUUGUGCUUGAUGAGCAGCGGCGCCGAAUGGAGGAGGACGGAGAGGAAGGUGUUUGGGGUGUGAUGCUGGGAUUUGGACCGGGGUUCACAAUUGAGACUAUGGUGCUGCAUGCGACCACAAAUCUCAAGCAAAAUCAUGCUAGAAUGUAG
rnacentral:rRNA from 1 species